rnacentral:misc_RNA from 1 species
AAGUCGUAACAAGGUUUCCGUAGGUGAACCUGCGGAAGGAUCAUUAACACGUAUCCAACGUAUCCACCCCUGUGGUCCUGUGCGCGGCUCUAUAUGUGAGUGGUAGAAACCAACUUUGUGACCUGCGUGGUUGCGAUUUUGCAAGUUUCCCUGGCCAGAGCAUGUCAAUCUGCGUGAUCGAUAUGACAAAGACCUAAUUUACCUGCGAGGUAGAUGGUUUCUGGUCAGAGAGAUAUGGUAAUACUAGCUUUCUGUGCGAAAGCAGCUUCAUGUAGCAGACGUUUUAACCAAACCAUUUACCAAAUUGACUAAUUUAGAAAUAAGUACGAUUCGCUCUGCUUUAUUUCGAUAUACGAAACGUAUAACAACUCUUAACAACGGAUAUCUUGGUUCUC